GAACUUUCCAGAGAUGGAUUGGUGCCUUCGGGAACUUAGAUACAGGUGCUGCAUGGCUGUCGUCAGCUCGUGUCGUGAGAUGUUGGGUUAAGUCCCGCAACGAGCGCAACCCUUCUCCUUAUUUGCCAGCGGGUCAUGCCGGGAACUUUAAGGAUACUGCCAGUGACAAACUGGAGGAAGGCGGGGACGACGUCAAGUCAUCAUGGCCCUUACGGCCAGGGCUACACACGUGCUACAAUGGUCGGUACAAAGGGUUGCUACCUCGCGAGAGGAUGCUAAUCUCAAAAAGCCGAUCGUAGUCCGGAUCGCAGUCUGCAACUCGACUGCGUGAAGUCGGAAUCGCUAGUAAUCGCGGAUCAGAAUGCCGCGGUGAAUACGUUCCCGGGCCUUGUACACACCGCCCGUCACACCAUGGGAGUUUGUUGCACCAGAAGUAGGUAGUCUAACCGCAAGGAGGACGCUUACCACGGUGUGGCCGAUGACUGGGGUGAAGUCGUAACAAGGUAGGCGUAGAUGA
rnacentral:rRNA from 1 species